UAUCUUUGAUUUACAGUCUUUUAUCUUGAAAAAGAAAACAGUGAAAGGGCUAAUAAUACACCUUGGUGGCAUUAUGAUUUCAACAUGUAAGCAUGGUGACAACCUGGGUUUGGGGAAGAACAUAAAGUGGGGGGAUUUGUAAGAAAAGAGAAACAUGAAAUGAAAGCACUUUUUUUCUUUCACAACAGAACAGGUAGGGGUAAUGAAUCCAAUUCUAAAGUGCGGUACCAGAAUCACUUUGAUUGAUGGAUGGGGUCCCUGUUGGCCUGCUACCUCAUGGGGCGACCUAAAUCCGACAUAUUUCCGCCAUUGUUGAUCCGCAUUGCUAGAUUAAGUAACGUGCUAAUUAAUCACAAGUGCUUAUAGUUAGAACGACAACCCCCC
rnacentral:lncRNA from 1 species